CGCGUUUAAGGGCGUAGAACGUCGUUCUCGGGCGCAAGCGAACCGACUGUGUAUGUACUAGCGUCGACUGCUCGAAGGAAGACGACGACGACGACGACGACAGCAACGACGGCGACGAGGUCGAGACGGGCGCCGUGGAGUGCCAGGGACGCAUCACUCAAGUCGCGCUUUCAGUAGCGCUAUCGCGGCAGCUUUAUACUGUCCCGGCCAAUUCGCACCAAAGAUGAAUCUGCCUCUGCAGGCGCCAUCGAGCACUCAUGCGGCAGACAGUUGCGUAUCGUAAAGUCCAUAUAUACCGCCAUUACGGCGAGCAUAUAUCAAUCCGCGUACAUACAUCAGCCUGGCAAGAGACUCGAAGUGCGUAGAUACGCACUGUUACGUGUCGGGUCGCUCGUUUGUCAAAUUUUCCCCAGAUCUCUUUACAGUUCCACUCCUCUCCCUGUGAUGCCGCACUCGAUUUGUCAAGUUUAUCCCGAUUGCUAAUGAAUUACCGAUAUGACUUCAGCAAUGAGUAUCAAUCAGAAAUCUCGAAACUAUGUUUGCAAGUGCAUCGAGUAUCAAUUGAAGUGAUAAGAGCAUUCAGAAUAUCAAAAAACAUCAAAUAUAUAUUCUUUGUACAUUUUUAAUAUAUGAAUCGUGAUUUUUACAAUACUUUUUUAUUAUUUGACUCCAUAAUAAAUAAAAAAGUUACGAAAAUCAUUAGCAAAUAAUUAUCGAAUAAGAUUUUCUGUUAUUUUUUAUACAUGAAAUUUUAUGUUUCUGUUAGUUACAGAUAUACGUUUUCUCAUGGCCACAGGCACGAUGACAUAUUGAGAUCAUUUAUAUAAUAUCGAUGCAUUGAGGAUCAAUAUGCCCAAGACGCUUAUUCGCGGAAGUGCUUUCUAAUUCCAAUGCAAAUACGCAAUACGAACGGGGAUGCAAAGUGAAAUUAUGAUGGCGCGUUUCGGCGCUUUCUCCUGGGAAACGAUCGAGACUUUCCGAACAGUCAUUAACUGAUUGGAAAACGUACGUGCUCGUUACGUUGCGACCGAGCUACGAAAGGGUUGCGGUAAUUUGUAAGAAAAUUAAAUUGAUUCAGCGCAUAAGGGAGACGAUGCUUGACACGGAAUGUCACGUUCCGCUCUCCCGUACUUCUCCCAGCGGAACUGAGAGCCAUGAUUUAUUCUGUGUCGUGUGCUUAACGUCACCAUUCUUAACCCUUCCAUUCCACCCUCGAAUAUUUUAAAUAUCUUCCAUAAUCUCAAAAGAGUUUCAUAAUCUUUUUCAAAAUCGUAAUAAUAUUACGGUUCUGCAGAAUCCUUUAAAAAUUUCAUAAAACGAUUAUUUAAUAAGAGUACUCGGAAUAUAGAAUCUCUGUACUUCUCUAUAAGACAUAUAAUUUUCAGCGUCGUGCGCUUUUAUAAAACUGGAAAAAUAGAAAAAAAAAUUAUAAAAGCAAUACUUAUUUAUUUAACAUUAUUAUCUAACGAUAGCUACUUGACGUUGAUUAUCUUUAGAGCCAAGAAUUGAUUUGAUAUCAAUAAUAUAACAUAUGAUGUUAACGAAUAUUUCUUUGUCUUAUACAGCGAGAAAAUAUGGCAGAUGUAAAAAGAUGUCGCAUCACAAGCCUACUGAAUUGGGUAUAAUGUUCCUGAAUAUUACGAUUUAUAUUCAUCGAAAAAAGAGAGUGGAAGAGAAACAGAACGAGAGCAAAGUGGCAGUCCAGCCACGAAAUGUCACGGCUCAUUUCUCUCCCGCGUGACAAUGGAGGCUCGGAAAAGAGCAUUAAAGGCCGGACGUUAAAACAGAGAGUAAAAAAAAAGACGCACAAAGAUAGGAGAGAGAUUAAACCCUUCAGUCCCGUGAGAUCCUUUAAGGUUCGAGGUGCAGAUACCGACGUUGCCGUUGCCGUGCAGCGAGCGGCAACGUGCAGACGAGAGAAAUCCCAAUUUCGAAGGAACGACGUUUCCUUACUUCGUAUAUAUUCACCCUUUCCCACUCUUUCCCGCCCUUACAUCUUUUUCCCUAAAUCGCAACUCGUCGUCUUUAUCGAAGAAUUCGGUGUAUAUUUAUCAGAGACAAUAAAUCUUGAAAAAUCAUAAGAACGACAACGAAAAGUAUCAGACAAUAUAGCAAUAGAAUUAACAGAUUUAUAUUAAUAUUUAUGUUACCUUGAGCUAAUUUUAUGACUGAAAUUGUUAUUAUGUACUCUACGUUGAUCGAAGUGUUUUGGAUGUUAGAAGACAAAUACAUUGUUUUGUAUGCGAAGAUACAGAAACGAUACAUCAUGCAUGUAAGAUGAGUCAAACUUAAUUGCCGCAUAAUGCUCCGUUAAAUGCGAUUGACCGGGGACCGAUUGUAACAGUAUAAAUGGACUCGAGGAC